rnacentral:rRNA from 1 species
AUGGCCGGUGUUGUUGAGGGAGGCGAGGAGAGGGCGCCUGGUGAGAUGGCGACGGAAGAGACGACGCAGCCAGAGAUCCUGAAGAUGAAGAUCGCGUCCCUGCUGAACUUGCUCAGCGAGAAGCAGUCCGAUGUUCUUUCGUGCGGCCCUGAGAUCGUGAGCAUGAUCACUUCGCUGAACAGCGAACUGGCAUCGCAGAAGUUGGCGAGGGACAGCAAACCCUUGGUUCCCCCGGAGGUCUCAUCGCCGAAGAGGCCCAAAAUGGCUGAUCAGGGAAACAUUGGUCAGUCCAAUACCGAUACGCAGAGUGUCAGCUCCCAGGUCAGUUCAGUCGCCGAGCGGGGCGACCAGAAGGAGAUCGAGUCAGGAAAAAUCAAACCAGCCUCCAGAUUCAAAUCCAAUUCCCAGCAGGUAUGUGUGCCCUCCGGUGGUGAGGAUGAGGAGGAGCGCCUUAACUGCCAAUUCACUCAUAUCAUGCAGCAGACUGAUGCUUUGUGUGACGAGUUGGCGUCUAUGGCAUCUACCCCGAACAAAACCAGUGCCCCCAUUAUCUCCUCUCACAUGGUCUCAGAUUUGGGCGAGAAAACGUCCAGAUUAAUGCAGAUCUGCAAGGUUAUAUUCUGUGAGUCUGUCAAAGGUGAUGAACAGGUUCCUUACCACUCUCUAGAUAACCAGAGGACCAAGGAGGACUCUGUGGAGAUGAGUGGUCUGACUAUGGACAAUGGCAAAUCCAGCACCCAAUGUGCUGAUAAACAGACAAAUAAAAAGGGGAUGGGUGGAACCAUGGAGCUGCUUGAAGAUUUCAACAUGUUUGAAUCGGACGAUGAGGAUGAGGAUGAGGAAAUGACCCAGGAGCAAUUAGCAAUGUCUGCCAAGUUUCGCGAGGAGGCUCAGGUGAUGGAAGCCCGCUUGGUCGAGGCCCUCGAGCAGGAUGAUAACAACACACCGAGCUGCUACAGAAUGACUCACCUUUCACUCUCAUAUCAGCCUGAGGAAAAGGAGGAACAGGAUGAGGUGGCUGAGGCAGAGGUUGAGACAGAUAUCACAAAAUCAGCCAAGGAGGAAAUGGAGAUGGAGGACAGGUUGUUCGCUAAUGCCCGUGAAGGCUGGGAAUAUGCAUGUGGAUGGUGUGGUAACUAUGAAGACAUGACCACAUUGAGUCCUAUGCACUUCACACAUUGUACACCGGGAAUCAUCCCAGGCAAUGCUAUCACUGGGAGCACCUUGCAGAUCUACUCCAUCAGAAUUGGCUUAAGAGAUGAACACUUGAAAUGGCCACUCUAUGUUUAUGGCAUUGUCGCUGCCCGAGACGCUGUGGAUUACAACCGCAACCUUCUUUACUUUCGGCCAAGGGAAGACUGCCAAAAACUAACACUAGAGCAUCCUUUUUUGUGCUUGACUGGCCCGUCUCGUGCGAUUGUGGCUCUUGACGAAGUUGACUUAGAAGUCCAACUGAAAGUAAAGGGCACAACAAGGUCUCUGGACAGAGCAUUGAUCAGCCGUCGCCUCACUUACUCUGGUGGUUAUCAGGGAGGUUUAGAUUCCUUUGUCUUUACCAACUGCCUUUGCACAGUUGAGUUCAGCCUCGAGCGACUUACGGAAACUGUCCAGGCUACUAUUUUGGGUGUCCGUGUUGUUGAAGGGGGGCCAUGGCCCUUUGAUUAUGGAGGCAGGGUUAUUUGCUCCUCGACACCUCAGGAUGAUAAGGUCAUGGCUACUAACAGUGCUACAGAUCCCCUGUCCAGGCAAGUUGUGUUGGUUGAUUCUGAUGGUGGAGAAAUGCCAAGGGGCUCAGAUGGUUAUCUUGAUCUGUCAAGGCAUGUUGUUUCUGUAGAACUGGAAGAAAUCCUGAAAUUUGUCAUUCAAGUCUACACAGAGUCUGGUGAUAUCCAGCAAUAUCCUGUCAAUUUCAGUCCCAAACAUUGCAACAUAGAAAAAGGUAAAUGUCUAAUUGGUGCAUCUGAGGUUGAAAUUACUAUUGCUUGGUCCCGACUUGUUCAGAACAAGAUGGAUAUCCUCUUUGAAGGACAUGUUUGA